UACGGAGGGUGCAAGCAUUAAUCGGAUUUAUUGGGCGUAAAGGGCGCGUAGGCGGCAUGGCAAGUGGAAGGUGAAAUCCCUCGGCUUAACCGAGGAACUGCCCUCCAAACUGCUUUGCUUGAGGCCGGGAGAGGCGAGUGGAAUUCCCAAGUGUAGCGGUGAAAUGCGUAGAUAUUGGGAGGAACACCAGUGGCGAAGGCGGGUCUCUGGACAGUUCCGUGACGCUGAGGCACGAAGGCCAGGGGAGCAA
rnacentral:rRNA from 1 species